rnacentral:rRNA from 1 species
AUUAUUGGGCGUAAAGCGCGCGCAGGCGGAUCAGUCAGUCUGUCUUAAAAGUUCGGGGCUUAACCCCGUGAUGGGAUGGAAACUGCUGAUCUAGAGUAUCGGAGAGGAAAGUGGAAUUCCUAGUGUAGCGGUGAAAUGCGUAGAUAUUAGGAAGAACACCAGUGGCGAAGGCGACUUUCUGGACGAAAACUGACGCUGAGGCGCGAAAGCCAGGGGAGCGAACGGGAUUAGAUACCCCGGUAGUCCUGGCCGUAAACGAUGGGUACUAGGUGUAGGAGGUAUCGACCCCUUCUGUGCCGGAGUUAACGCAAUAAGUACCC